GACGAACGCUGGCGGCGUGCUUAACACAUGCAAGUCGAACGGAAAGGCCCUGCUUUUGUGGGGUGCUCGAGUGGCGAACGGGUGAGUAACACGUGAGUAACCUGCCCUUGACUUUGGGAUAACUUCAGGAAACUGGGGCUAAUACCGGAUAGGAGCUCCUGCUGCAUGGUGGGGGUUGGAAAGUUUCGGCGGUUGGGGAUGGACUCGCGGCUUAUCAGCUUGUUGGUGGGGUAGUGGCUUACCAAGGCUUUGACGGGUAGCCGGCCUGAGAGGGUGACCGGCCACAUUGGGACUGAGAUACGGCCCAGACUCGUACGGGAGGCAGUAGUUGGGAAUAUUGCACAAUGGGCGGAAGCCUGAUGCAGCAACGCCGCGUGCGGGAUGACGGCCUGCGGGUUGUAAACCGCUUUCGCCUGUGACGAAGCGUGAGUGACGGUAAUGGGUAAAGAAGCACCGGCUAACUACGUG
rnacentral:rRNA from 1 species